AAGAGAAAGCAAGAAACGAAGGAGGUCCCAAGACACCUGCUUGCAAGAUUGCCAGAUGGGCCCAGUCAAGGAGGUCGACUUCUUUAAUUUUGGGUGGCUCUGGAUGUGACCAACUGGAAACAUGUUUUGUUUUUUGUUUAGCUCUAAGAUGCUUUAUAUGCACAUAUUUUGUGUUUGUUUAUUAUUACUAUUUUUUUUGAUUGCUUUCCAGUUUUGAAAAUUGAAACUUGCACUUGGUUGUUCUUUGACAAUAUUAAUAAAUAAUGCAAAUGUUUUCA